rnacentral:rRNA from 1 species
AAGCGAGCGUAGGCGCCCAGGUGUGUCAGGUGUGAAAUCCUGCGGCUAACCCGUAGAAUUGCGCCUGAAACUACCUGGCUUGAGUGUCGGAGAGGUAAGUGGAAUUCCUGGUGUAGCGGUGAAAUGCGUAGAUAUCAGGAGGAACACCAAUGGCGAAGGCAGCUUACUGGACGACAACUGACGCUGAGGCUCGAAAGCGUGGGGAGCGAAAGGGAUUAGAUACCCCUGUAGUCCACGCCGUAAACGUUGUACACUAGAUAUCGGGGGAUUCGACCCCCUCGGUGUCCCAGCUAACGCGAUAAGUGUACCGCCUGCGGACUACGGUCGCAAGACUAAAACGUAAAGGAAUUGGCGGGGCCCCGCACAAGCGGUGGAGCAUGUGGCUUAAUUCGAUGCAACGCGAAGAACCUUACCUGGGCUUGACAUGCAGUGGACCGGCAGUGAAAGCUGCCCUCUCUUCGGAGCCGCUGCACAGGUGCUGCAUGGCUGUCGUCAGCUCGUGUCGUGAGAUGUUCGGUUAAGUCCGGCAACGAGCGCAACCCCUGUCCUUAGUUGCCAGCAUUCAGUUGGGGACUCUAAGGAGACAAUCCUGCUCUGCAGGAGGGAAGGUGGGGAUGACGUCAAGUCAGUAUGGCCCUUACGUCCAGGGCUGCACACGUGCUACAAUGCCCGGUACAAUGGGAAGCAAUACCGCGAGGUGGAGCAAAUCCAUAAAACCGGGCCCAGUUCGGAUUGGAGUCUGCAACUCGACUCCAUGAAGCCGGAAUCGCUAGUAAUGGCGCAUCAGCAUUGGCGCCGUGAAUACGUUCCCGGGGCUUGCACACACCGCCCGUCAAAUCAUGAAAGCCGGUUCUGCCCGAAGUCUGUGAGCCAACCCGCAAGGGAGGCAGCGGCCUAAGGUAGGGCUGGUGAUUGGGAUUAA